GUUUAUAUAUAUAUAUAUAUAUAUAUAUAUAUAUAUAUUGUUUAGCACUUUUAAGGUGGGAUAGAUUUUAGAUUUAGAUUUGUUCAAAUACGAAGCUGCCUUAAGCUUUGUGGUACCUGCUCUCAGAAGUUUUGUAUGUCCAUACAAUCUCAAAUUUGAUCAUUAUUUACAGUAUAUUUCAAGAUAUUGAUAUUUUAAUGAAUCAAAUAAGUGUAAUAGAUUAUAUGAAGUGUAUUGUGUUGAUAGCUCUGUGACUUUUAGUGCAGAUAGACACACUAUAAUCAAUUAGUCUUUAAUCUAAUAGACUAGAUUGUGGUUUCCGAGGAAUUUGACUGUUUGUGAGCUCUGUACUCUACUCUAGAAGAUGACAAUGAAGAAGCUGUGAGUGAGCGCCAGAUGCUAGCUUAUAUAUGUAUGUAUAUAUAGAGCUUGGUGCUUUCCCUGUGUGGUAUUGGUGUCGCUAGCUUUGAGAAGGUAGCACUUUCAAGGUUUCACUGAAAUGUUUGCUGGAACUGUAACCCACACCCACUUUAAAACACAAGUUUGCGACACACUAAAGCUAAUUUAGCUGCUCUCUCCAGUGUUUUCUCCAAGGCUAAUGCUAACACUGCUGCUAACACAUGCUAAUGCAUUUCUUUUUUUUCUCAGGCUGAGCUGAGCUUUGUCUGUAUAUUCACGGCUGCAGAUUCACACGAAUGAACGAACGAAAGAGGCUGAAUAUUAAUGCCGCAUUCAUAACCGCUGCAUGCAUUAAAGAGUGUUGCAACCCGAAUGUUCCAGUAACCCCACACCCACAAACGACAGAUCGAAAGAGAGGAGGGAGAGAGAGAAAAAAAAACAGAAAUGGGUUCUGCAUCCACCUCCUCAUCGAGCUGCUAUUUGGUCUCGGUGUGGUGGCUGUGCGUGAAACCGUAAGAUCUGGGCAAGAAUGGUUAAGCUGACACGUUCUGUAGAUACAGAUCUGAGAUGACCCCACAGGACCAUCACAGAGAAGCUACAGUGGUGUACAGCAGGGGUCGGCCAGAUGUGGCCAGCAAACAUAAAACAUCUGGGCCGUGAGGUUGUUUGAACUAUAAUGAACGAUAAUGAAAAAAAAAUUAAAUAAAUAAAAUGCUUCUCUGGUGAGCUUUUGUUUA
rnacentral:lncRNA from 1 species